GUCCAGCUGAGAAACUAGACCACAUCAGGAUUGGGCUUGACUUAGAAACUGGACUGCCGGCGUGAGGAUGCAGAUUUGGAACCCAUAAAAGGUUUGAAAACCUGUGAAGAAAUUGCUUAAGAACCCCGGCCUGCAUUGGAAACUGAAUCAGUGUGCUCUAUAAGGGAGCAUAUUCUCCUCAACAGUGAACAUGGAUAACAUUGGCAACACUACAGAUGAGGACACUGAGGCCCAGAGUAUGAGGUGACGUGCCCGUCUUCACAGAGCUGGUAAGAAGAGACCCAGGAUUCGAGCCCUGCUCACCUGUUCCGGAGGGCAACUUUAAUACUCCUUGAAACAUCCUCAUCAGAGCCCAGUUCUGUUCAUGGGAAAGUGGGAAACAGCACAGAUCCUCCC